ACUAAUUUCAGCAAUUUCUUAUCUUACUUCGUUACAUAGUAUUUUGAGUAAGUUAAUUUUUGACUGGGAAUCACUUGGUCUUCAGAAUUCGAUAUUCGAUUCAUUUCAUCUUCUUGAUAUAUGUACUUCUUUUCUGGGUUUUUAUUUUGAAAUUUUGAUAUAUAUAUUCUAACAAUGGAUGAAUCUUAGGUGGGUUUUGUGAGUAAUAUUGAUGGAAAAUUGUGGAUUUUUCUUGCAGGAUUUGUGGAAGCUUUUCGACGAUCCAUUUAACUACUCAGUGCUGAUGAACAUGGAUGCUUAUGGUGGUUGGUGUAGUAGCAGUGCAACUACAGAUCAGAUGGUCGCUUCCUUUGGUUUCUUUUCAUAACCAUCCAUGCCACAUGCCUCUUUUGAUUCAACAAAUGGUGUAGGACGAAGUUCUGGUGCAUAUGUUGAAUUUUAACAGCUGUUCAACUAAGCUUUCCAGUUUUAGUAACUCUUCUAAGGUUUUAUUUGUGGUAAAUCUUCAACAAAGCCUAGUUCCGGUACAUACGUUGAAUUUGGAUAUGCGAAUCGAUACUUCUUAUAAUUGUUUGGACACGUAAUGAACACUUUGGGUGUAACUCACAUUUAUCAGAUCCGUUGCGGGCACCUAAGAUGAGAAACUGAAGGGGAGCAAAAUGACGUGUGAUGUCAGGACGAGAAGGUCCCAGACGUCGGGAUGACAUGACGUACUUAGUACCCAAGCAAGGUUGCGAUGUUGUGUCGAGCAGGUAGGCCAUGUCAUGACAAGACAAUAAUUAAUGCUCAAAUACAGUCACUUUUUUUACUCUCAACAAGAUUUAUUCUCCCAA